ACAGAGGGUGCAAGCGUUAAUCGGAAUGACUGGGCGUAAAGGGCGCGUAGGUGGUUAUUUAAGUUAGAUGUGAAAGCCCCGGGCUUAACCUGGGAACUGCAUCUAAUACUGAAUAGCUUGAGUAGAAUAGAGGGGAGUGGAAUUUCCGGUGUAGCGGUGGAAUGCGUAGAUAUCGGAAGGAACACCAGUGGCGAAGGCGGCUCCCUGGAUUCAUACUGACACUGAGGCGCGAAAGCGUGGGGAGCAAACAGGAUUAGAUACCCUGGUAGUCCACGCCGUAAACGAUGAGAACUAGAUGUUAGGAGGGUUACCUCUUAGUAUCGCAGCUAACGCAUUAAGUUCUCCGCCUGGGGAGUACGGUCGCAAGAUUA
rnacentral:rRNA from 1 species